UACGUAGGGAGCGAGCGUUGUCCGGAAUUACUGGGUGUAAAGGGAGCGUAGGCGGGGAUGCGAGUCAGGUGUGAAAACUACAGGCUCAACCUGUAGACUGCACUUGAAACUGUGUUUCUUGAGUGAAGUAGAGGCAGGCGGAAUUCUUAGUGUAGCGGUGAAAUGCGUAGAUAUUAGGAGGAACACCAGUGGCGAAGGCGGCCUGCUGGGCUUUUACUGACGCUGAGGCUCGAAAGCGUGGGGAGCAAAC
rnacentral:rRNA from 1 species